AUUGAACGCUGGCGGCAGGCCUAACACAUGCAAGUCGAACGAGUGGCGGACGGGUGAGUAAUGUAUGGGAAACUGCCCGAUGGAGGGGGAUAACUACUGGAAACGGUAGCUAAUACCGCAUACCCUCGGAUGUGCCCAGAUGGGAUUAGCUUGUAGGUGAGGUAACGGCUCACCUAGGCGACGAACCCUAGCGGGUCUGAGAGGAUGACCAGGAAAACUGGGACGGAGACACGGGCCAGAGGCCGAGGGGAGGAAGGAGUGGGGAAUAUGGGACAAUGGGGGAAAGCCUGAUGCAGACAUGCCGCGUGUAUGAAGAAGGCGUUCGGGUUGAAAAGUACUUUCAGUGGGGAGGCGUUACCCGAAGAAGAAGCACCGGCUAACUACGUGCCAGCCGCCGCGGUAAUAC
rnacentral:rRNA from 1 species